AGAGUUUGAUCCUGGCUCAGAAUGAACGCUGGCGGCGUGUUUAAGACAUGCAAGUCGCACGGAAUGAAUUCGGUAUUUAUAUUGGAUGAUUUUAGUGGCGCACGGGUGAGUAACACGUGAAUUACAUGCCCUUCAGUGGGGGAUAGCCCGGGGAAACCCGGAUUAAUACCCCAUAGUACCGCAAGGUUAAAGGUGGCUAGCAAUAGCUGUCGCUGAAGGAUUGGUUCGCGCCCUAUCAGCUUGUUGGUGAGGUAACGGCUCACCAAGGCUACGACGGGUAACUGGUCUGAGAGGACGAUCAGUCACACUGGAACUGAGACACGGUCCAGACACCUACGGGUGGCAGCAGUCGAGAAUAAUUCACAAUGGACGCAAGUCUGAUGGUGCAACGCCGCGUGGAGGAUGACGGUCUUAGGAUUGUAAACUCCUGUCAUCUGGGAGAAAGACCUGGCGAUUAAUAGUCGACAGGGUUGAUAGUACCAGAAGAGGAAGGGACGGCUAACUUCGUGCCAGCAGCCGCGGUAAUACGAAGGUCCCGAGCGUUAUUCGGAAUCACUGGGCGUAAAGGGAGCGUAGGCGGCGCGGUAAGUCGGAUGUGAAAUCCCGGGGCUCAACCCCGGAACUGCAUCUGAUACUGCCGUGCUAGAGUAAUGGAGGGGUAGCUGGAAUUCUCGGUGUAGCAGUGAAAUGCGUAGAUAU
rnacentral:rRNA from 1 species